rnacentral:rRNA from 1 species
GACGAACGCUGGCGGCGUGCCUAAUACAUGCAAGUCGAGCGGAUUUAUCCUUCGGGAUAAGUUAGCGGCGGACGGGUGAGUAACACGUAGGCAACCUGCCUAUAAGACCUGGGAUAACUAUCGGAAACGAUAGCUAAGACCGGAUAACUGGUUUUCUCGCAUGAGAGAAUCAUGAAACACGGAGCAAUCUGUGGCUUAUAGAUGGGCCUGCGGCGCAUUAGCUAGUUGGUAGGGUAACGGCCUACCAAGGCGACGAUGCGUAGCCGACCUGGGAGGGUGAACGGCCACACUGGGACUGAGACACGGCCCAGACUCCUACGGGAGGCAGCAGUAGGGAAUCUUCCGCAAUGGACGCAAGUCUGACGGAGCAACGCCGCGUGAGUGAUGAAGGUUUUCGGAUCGUAAGGCUCUGUUGCCCUAGACGAACAGCAAGAGGAGUAACUGCCUUUUGUGUGACGGUAUAGGAGAAGAAAGCCCCGGCUAACUACGUGCCAGCAGCCGCGGUAAAAC